rnacentral:rRNA from 1 species
CCUACGGGGUGCAGCAGUGAGGAAUAUUGGUCAAUGGACGAGAGUUUGAACCAGCCAAGUAGCGUGAAGGAUGACUGCCCUAUGGGUUGUAAACUUCUUUUAUAAAGGAAUAAAACGCGGCACGUGUGCCUUUUUGCAUGUACUUUAUGAAUAAGGAUCGGCUAACUCCGUGCCAGCAGCCGCGGUAAUACGGAGGAUCCGGGCGUUAUCCGGAUUUAUUGGGUUUAAAGGGAGCGUAGAUGGGUUGUUAAGUCAGUUGUGAAAGUUUGCGGCUCAACCGUAAAAUUGCAAUUGAUACUGGCAGGCUUGAGUACAGUUGAGGUAGGCGGAAUUCGUGGUGUAGCGGUGAAAUGCUUAGAUAUCACGAAGAACCCCGAUUGCGAAGGCAGCUUACUAAACUGUGACUGACAUUGAUGCUCGAAAGUGUGGGUAUCAAACAGGAUUAGAUACCCCUGUAGUC